rnacentral:rRNA from 1 species
GGAUUAGAUACCCUGGUAGUCCACGCCGUAAACGAUGGGUACUAGGUGUUGGGUUGACUUCACGGUUGAUUCGGUGCCGCAGCUAACGCAUUAAGUACCCCGCCUGGGGAGUACGCUCGCAAGGGUGAAACUCAAAGGAAUUGACGGGGGCCCGCACAAGCGGUGGAGCAUGUGGUUUAAUUCGAUGCAACGCGCAGAACCUUACCGGGGCUUAAACUGCUAGGUAACCCCUGUGAAAGCAGGUCUGUUCUUCGGAACGACCUAGUAGAGGUGCUGCAUGGCUGUCGUCAGCUCGUGCCG